rnacentral:rRNA from 1 species
GACGUAGGAGGCGAGCGUUGUCCGGAUUCAUUGGGCGUAAAGAGCGCGCAGGCGGCUUGGUAAGUCGGAUGUGAAAUCCCGAGGCUCAACCUCGGGUCUGCAUCCGAUACUGCCCGGCUAGAGGUAGGUAGGGGAGAUCGGAAUUCCUGGUGUAGCGGUGAAAUGCGCAGAUAUCAGGAAGAACACCAAUGGCGAAAGCAGCUCUCUGGGACGGUACUGACGCUGAGACGCGAAAGCGUGGGGAGCGAACAGG